rnacentral:rRNA from 1 species
AUACGGAGGAUCCGAGCGUUAUCCGGAUUUAUUGGGUUUAAAGGGUGCGCAGGCGGCCAUUUAAGUCAGCGGUUAAAUCGUGGGGCUCAACCCCAUUCUGCCGUUGAUACUGGGUGGCUUGAUUGCGGUCGAGGUUGGCGGAAUUCGUUGUGUAGCGGUGAAAUGCAUAGAUAUGACGAAGAACACCGAUUGCGUAGGCAGCUGACCAGACCGCAAAUGACGCUCAUGCACGAAAGUGCGGAGAUCGAACAGGAUUAGAUACCCUGGUAGUCCGCACAGUAAACGAUGAAUACUUGUUUUCGGCGAUAUAAUGUCGGAGGCAAAGCGAAAGCGAUAAGUAUUCCACCUGGGGAGUACGCCGGCAACGGUGAAACUCAAAUGAAUUGACGGGG